GGGGGCGGUACUGCAGCACCAAGUGUCUGUGCACACACAGAGAGACGAGGUGUUUGAAGUGGACGCUCUAACUCCCACCACCUUGUUGCCAUGGUGAUGGAGGUGAGGGUUGCAUAUGGGAUGCAUGAAGCUGCAUCAUAAAGAGAGUUUGAACCCUUUCUGGCUCCGCUGGCUGCUGUGAGAGCAGCUGGACAGAGACUCACCUGUGCAGGUGGACAGGAGGCUGCUUGUGAUGUCACAGGACUGCAGAUUCACUCAGGAGUUUUGGCUGCUUCAGUAUUUCUGUAUAUUUUUCUUUACACUGUCAGUUCUUUGUUUACCUGUCAAAACUUAGCUCAGGGUGCAAAUGAAGAGACAUGCCUGGGUUUGUUGCAUCAUCAUCAUCAUCUGAGUGGACAGAAUCAGAUUAAUUGUAAAUAUCUGUGUAUCUGUAACUUUAAUGUUUUCUUUAUAUUUCAAUAAAUCAGAUCUGACUUCACACAAA